rnacentral:snoRNA from 2 species
GUUGCUAUGAUUAUUUACUUUUACCAAUUGUUCCGACUGAAUGGAAAUUCCAAAUGUCGACAAAUUGUAUCUCGUUAAGUUUCAGCCUUGUAUGAGCUCC